GAAAAAUCUUUUUAUUUAAGAUUGAUUGGAAAUAACGUCUGGUUAAGAUACGAUGGACGACGGUGAGGAUCCCGGGUCCCGCCAAAAGGUCCAACUGAUGCUGAUCUCUCUCCUAACAUAACGAAAACAGCCAUAAGAGUAAGGAUCCACUGGAAAUAACAUAGAAACUUCUCUUCUCAAAAGAAUUAACUCGCUGUAUCAGCGUAUUUAUCGCCAUCGAGAGGCUUCUGGUCUUCGUAUCUGCAAUACAAUUUCCUUUCUUUCACUAACCGACACCUUUACUAGAUCGUCAAUAUCCUCGUAUCUAUUAUAUCAUUCGUUUCAACAACCCUCUCUCUCUCUCUCUCUCACAAGCCUGAGGCAAGCCAUAGGGACCGGAGAGAAGCAUGUUGCGGAACAGAUCAUGCUCACCAUUGCUGCUUCUUUUUGGGGCUUUUGUGUUCUCUCUCCUUCUCCGCACAUCCUCUUCACCAACCACUUUAGCUUUGCAUCUUCAGACUCUAAAUAUUCCU
rnacentral:misc_RNA from 1 species